GGGGGAUAACGCAGCGAAAAGUUGCGCUAAUACCGCAUACGAUCUAAGGAUGAAAGCAGGGGACCGCAAGGCCUUGUGCUCCUGGAGCGGCCGAUAUCUGAUUAGCUAGUUGGUGAGGUAAAGGCUCACCAAGGCCACGAUCAGUAGCUGGUCUGAGAGGACGACCAGCCACACUGGAACUGAGACACGGUCCAGACUCCUACGGGAGGCAGCAGUGGGGAAUUUUGGACAAUGGGCGCAAGCCUGAUCCAGCAAUGCCGCGUGAGUGAAGAAGGCCUUCGGGUUGUAAAGCUCUUUUGUCAGGGAAGAAACGGUAGAGGCUAAUAUCUUUUGCUAAUGACGGUACCUGAAGAAUAAGCACCGGCUAACUACGUGCCAGCAGCCGCGGUAAUACGUAGGGUGCAAGCGUUAAUCGGAAUUACUGGGCGUAAAGCGUGCGCAGGCGGUUUUGUAAGUCUGUCGUGAAAGCCCCGGGCUCAACCUGGGAAUUGCGAUGGAGACUGCAAGGCUUGAAUCUGGCAGAGGGGGGUAGAAUUCCACGUGUAGCAGUGAAAUGCGUAGAGAUGUGGAGGAACACCGAUGGCGAAGGCAGCCCCCUGGGUCAAGAUUGACGCUCAUGCACGAAAGCGUGGGGAGCAAACAGGAUUAGAUACCCUGGUAGUCCACGCCCUAAACGAUGUCUACUAGUUGUCGGGUUUUAAUUAACUUGGUAACGCAGCUAACGCGUGAAGUAGACCGCCUGGGGAGUACGGUCGCAAGAUUAAAACUCAAAGGAAUUGACGGGGACCCGCACAAGCGGUGGAUGAUGUGGAUUAAUUCGAUGCAACGCGAAAAACCUUACCUACCCUUGACAUGUCAGGAAGUCUUGAGAGAUCAGGAUGUGCCCGAAAGGGAACCUGAACACAGGUGCUGCAUGG
rnacentral:rRNA from 1 species